UAUAUAUAUGUUAAUUGUAUUGAUAUUUGUUCGAAAAUGUAUUAAUAUUUUUUAUAAAAUAAAUAAACUUUAUCAGAUUCUUUUAGUUUUAGUAAUAUUUACCAUUUAAGCGAAGAAAAUUGAAAUUAAAUCAAAAUACAACAUAGUAAUAUGAAAAUAUAAAAUAAACAAGAUAUAAGAAGUGAGUACAUAAUUCUUUCAUGUGCUAUACGCAUUACAUUUAGUAAAAUGUGUUAUAUUUCAAUACUAGAAACGAAAAUCAUUGAAAAAACAAUUAUGAAAAUUAAUAGUUAUUACACUAUCUAAUUCAUAUAUUGGGGUUUUCCAUUUUGAUGUUCAGUCUAUGUCCUCACUCAUAUUAUAAUUUCACUGUUUUAUUGUGAAAGCUUGUUUACGUAGCUUACAAAAUGGAUACUGAGUACCUUGUUAGACAAGAAAUAGAAAGAAAAACAUAAACAUCUAUUUGUUAGUUUCAUAAAAUAUUUAUAAGAAAAAUAAAAGAUUUCAUGUACUUUUCUAUAACAAUACAUUGAUAUAAAAGUAAGAUAUGACGAUAUAGCUAUACUUGAGAUCUUGUUAAUGCACUUACACCUAGAUAAGAUCUUAUUAAUGCACUUAGAGUUUUGUGGUAUGAGAUUAUUCUAAUGAGAACACAGUGGAAAUGCUCUAGCGUCUCUUGUAAUUUUGUUGUUGUUUGGUCUAACCGUAUAAGUCUUCACAUUCAAAUUUAAUUGUUUUUUUUAAUAUUUUUUUUCACAGUUCUUUAGUCAAUUCUUGAAUUAUUUAUGUUUACAAAAUUGGUUUGUUCAAAGUUCAAACAUAAACAUUAGGUAAUAUUUAUAAAAAAUAGAUUUUUUUGUAUAUUUAUGGACUCAGUGUAAUAAAUAUCUUAUAUCUAUAAAUUUAAAAUUUCAAUAAAUUUGAAAUUUCAUCAAAAAAAAAAAAUCUUAUAUCUAUUAAAUGAGAUUUUUACUCGUAUAAUUUUAUGAUUAUUUGUAACAAAAAUUUUAAACUAUUGAGCACAACAAUUUUAAUGUGGAGCUUUUAAUAUUUUAGUAAUUUAUAAUCGUCAAAAUUAAAAAUACACAUAUACAAAAAAGCUAAUUUUAUUAUCUAAUUAAUAUAAUUGUUUAAUUGAUUUAAUAAUAUAAUUAAACAAAAUUGUUGGAAGAUAUGCAAAUUGUUAACAAACAAUUCUUAUUUAAUAUAAUUAAUUCUCAUAUUUGUUGAAAUCACAUUAGAUAAUUAUGUAACUUUUAUUUAAGAAAAGAUGAAGUAGAUUUUUUUUUAACAUUUGAUUAAUGAGUAUUCCACUUUAUUAUAUAUUAUGACAGCUAAGAGCAUUAGAUUGAAAAUAAUUAUAGUGUUGACACAUACACAUUAAAAGGUGAUUCUCAAUUAAUAUAUACGAGAUGAUUAAUGAAUGUUCCACUUUAUUAUAUAUUAUGACAGUUAAGAACAUCAAAUUGUAAAGAGUUAUAAUGUUCACAGAUAAGCAUUGUAAUCAAUGUUACAACUUAAAAUAAGAUUCUCAAUUAAUAUAUAAGAUAUUAUUUGUAUUUUCUGUUGAUUAAAUGUAUUCAUGAAAAUAAAAGAAAAGAGUUUUUUUUAUUUGACUAAGAAAAUACUUCUUAAAAUGUAUGUUUGUGUUCUUAUAUAUAGUUAGAAUGUGUGAAGAAAAACAAUAAGAAGUUAAAGAGAAUAUUUAAAACACAAUCCCAAAAUUUAGAGAUAAAAAAUGGCUAUCACAAGGAAGACUAUAAUCACAUUUGUUUUUACUAUCCUUUUCUUCGGAUCUUCUGUUCUUUGUCGUACUCCAGAUAGUGCCGUUACUCCAGCUAGCGUAGCUAGCGCUGUUACUCCGGAUAAUGGUUAUGGAGAAUUAAAUACGGACAUUUGCUUCACCGUCAUGUCACCGUGUAAUUGGCGAUAUCCACAUGGAGAAGCAAUGUGCAAUGACUAUUGUAAGAGAAAUAAAACUUAUUCUGGACAUUGUGAUGCUCAUGGAAGAUGUUGUUGUGUAAUAUAAGUAUGUGUCCAAGAUAAAAUCAUCUUAUCAUAUGUUUUUAAUAUCUGUAAUAGAAGAUCUAGAAUCAAAUAAACAAUAUUACCAGAUUGAAAUGAGUUUGCUUAAA